GUAGAGAUGGCAUCUCACUAUGUUGCCCACACUGGUCUCGAACUCCUGGCCUCAAGUCACCCUCCCACCUCAGCUUCUCAAAGUGCUGGAAUUACAGGCAUGAGCCACAGCGCCCAGCUGGUAUGUUUUUAAAACCAGAGGGAACAAUGUAAACAGAAAAGAGACACAACACCCAAAAUGUGAGGUUAUUACCAAGAAAGAGAAGUGAUACAAGUUGAAGACAGACUCCACUUAAGCCACAAAUUUAUCCUAGAGCCAAACCUAUUUUCUGGCUGCUGUUCAAGAUGAAAGAAAAAGGCUCAAUGCAGCAGUAUGGAAGUGUAUUGCAACUGUGAAUGACAAUGGAGAAGGGCCCUUUUGCUGAGCUUUUGACACACUGCAACAUUAGUUUACCUAAUUUAUACCUAUUUCUCAUAUUAAUAGCACAGCCAACUUCAUUAAAAACAUGCUACAUUCUUAGACAUUCUCUUCACUGAAUCAGUGACAUUAAAAACACAAUUAAAAAACAAAAAACAAAAAAAACAGCACCCUCAGGCCAGGUGCAGGGCUCAGGCUUGUAAUCCCAGCAUUUUGGGAGGCCGAGGUGGGCGGACCAUCUGAGGUCAGGAGUUCGAGACCAGCCUGGCCAACAUAGUCAAACCUCGUUUCUACUAAAAAUUAGCCGGGUGUUGUGGUGUGUGCCUGUAAUCCCAGCUACUCGGGAGGCUGAGGCCGAAGAAUUGCUUGAACCCAGGAGGCAGAGGUUGCAGUGAGCUAAGAUCAUGCCAUUGCACCCCAGCUUGGGCAACAAGAGUGAAACUCCAUCUCAAAAAAAAAAAAAAAAUAGCGCUGUCAUGCAUGUCACAGUUUUCCCUGUUGGACAGUGCAUUUUAAUUACCACUGCUUUUGAGAAAACAGGAAUGCUUCCUGAAUUUACAAAAUAUUUUCUUCCCUAAGUGUCUUUGAAAGGCCCUGAAAUCCACAUUUCAAUAACAGUUUUUCAUGGGGUAGAAAGAAGUUGUUGGGCUGUUUUUUUGUUUGUUUUUUUUUUCCAGGAGAACCAAAGAAUAACCGUGAGACCUCCCUCCCAAGUAAGAGAUAGAAAAUGUUAAGGACUGUUGAGCACCCAGCAAAUUUCCACAGUGGAUCAGUAAGAAGUUACUUAGCACAGGUGUUUAAUUAUGAUGCAUUAGGGAAAUGGGUAGUGUUCAAUGGCCCUCAAGCACGAACCUCCACCUGUGCAGAGGUCUAACAUUGGUUCAUGGAGUGAUAAUAUUGAGGGGAGUGAUUAUGCGCCAAUCCUGCUCAAGGGUCUUUCUUUUCUUGGUUGCUGCAACCAAGUUCACUGCCAGGAAGCCACGGGUUUCCCCACAUGAGUAGGUCCAUCACACAAGUUUAUAAUCUGCAUCUGGUUUAUCUCUCCAGGAAUUAGCCAUUUCUGAACGCAACUAAAAAAUCAGAAUAAUUCAAGAUGCCCUGCAAAGAAAGUCUCUCCAGGUAGAGAGACUUCCCUAAACUCUGGCUUUAUAAUAAGCAAAGGAAACCAAUGUACUGGCCAAAUGGCCAGGCUAGGUCAUUGUAAUUAAUUCCCAAACAAUAGCCAGUCACCUUCAGUUAUUCUGGAUAGCAUUCUAUGGUCAGGACUGCCCUGAGGCCCAUUAAAUUGAGCACUGUCCGAAGACAUUCAUAAGCAUUACCUCAAUUGUUUCAUUUCUAUUAUUAUUUACACUAUUGUAAUUACAUUUUAGAGAUGAGAAAAUUGAUAUUAAGGAUUAUGACAUUGUGAUAUAGCUUUGGAUAUGUGUCCCUACCCAAAUCUCAUGUUGAAAUGUAAUCACCAGUGUUGGAGGUGGGGCCCAAUGGGAGGUGAUUGGAUCCUGGGGGCAGAUUUCUCCUGAAUAGUUUAGCACCAUUCCCUUGGUACUGUCCUCAUUAUAAUGAGUGAGUUCUUGAGAGAUAUAGUGGUUGAAAAGUGUGUGGCAGCUCCCCCAUCUCUCUCCUGUUCCUGCUCUCACUAUGUGAUGUGCCUCCUCCCCCUUUGCCUUCAGCCAUAAUUGUAAGUUUCCUGAGGUCUACUCAGAAGCCAAACAGAUGCCGAUAUGCUUCCUGUACAGCCUGAAGAACCAUAAGCCAAUUAAACUUCUUUGUUUUAUAAAUUACCCAGUCUCAGGUAUUCCUUUAUAGCAAUGCAAGAGCAGCCUAAUACGUAUCAUCACCUGCCAAAGUCAAUGCUUAUAUUUUUACUUGAGCUAUCCUUCUGCUCAAGACCCUGUAAUACCAUGCACGAGACUCUAGAGCCUAGGAAGAGUGUGGGUAAAUAAUAACAUAGGCAAAGUUUGUCUCCUGCAUUCCCAAGCCUACCACCCACCCAUGCCACUUCAGGAUUCGUUUAUCUUUCAGACAGUCUCCUUCUCCUUCUCCCUUUUUCCCCUACCCAAAGUACACAAUUCUCUGUGGCUACCCUUUUAAGGACAGGGAAGCAAAUCUAAUAAGUGAGUCUUGAGCAAAGCUACUCAUACUUAGUAUGAAAUGAUUGGCAGAUGAGAGACAGUGUGUAUGAACUGGUAAAAUUAAACAAUCAGCAAUGAGAUAAGGCAGAAACAUUAAUAGACUUAUCAUCACGAAACUUGUGUUCUCUCAUAGACUGUGAGCUGGUAGAGAACCAGGAUUAUGCAUAUUAACUUGUUUAACUAACUCAAGGUCACUUGCAUAACAGAAACUGUAUAUAUGUUUGUCAAACUGGGUCAAACUAAUUCUGGCUUUCCCACUCAGUUUGGAGUAACCGAAUACAAACAACUUUGUAGACCUCAGUUUUAUUUACCUAUAUUAUGGGAGAGUUAGACCAGAUCAGUGGCUUUCAGACUUAUUUUUCAUGGAAGGCUGCAUUCAAAUAAAAUAUUAAUCAUGAUCAUAAACAAAUUAAAUGGAUACAAGUAAAGCCAUUUUUGUUUAAUUAAUAGGCUAGCCCAUUCCUCCCUUCUCUAAACAGUAACAAAAACCGUUAGAAUGUGUUA
rnacentral:lncRNA from 1 species